GAUGAACGCUGGCGGCGUGCCUAAUACAUGCAAGUCGAGCGAACGGACGAGAAGCUUGCUUCUCUGAUGUUGGCGGCGGACGGGUGAGUAACACGUGGAUAACCUACCUAUAAGACUGGGAUAACUUCGGGAAACCGGAGCUAAUACCGGAUAAUAUUUUGAACCGCAUGGUUCAAAAGUGAAAGACGGUCCUGCUGUCACUUAUAGAUGGAUCCGCGCUGCAUUAGCUAGUUGGUAAGGUAACGGCUUACCAAGGCAACGAUGCAUAGCCGACCUGAGAGGGUGAUCGGCCACACUGGAACUGAGACACGGUCCAGACUCCUACGGGAGGCAGCAGUAGGGAAUCUUCCGCAAUGGGCGAAAGCCUGACGGAGCAACGCCGCGUGAGUGAUGAAGGUCUUCGGAUCGUAAAACUCUGUUAUUAGGGAAGAACAUAUGUGUAAGUAACUAUGCACGUCUUGACGGUACCUAAUCAGAAAGCCACGGCUAACUACGUG
rnacentral:rRNA from 1 species